rnacentral:lncRNA from 1 species
CCAACCUCAGGAUACUAUCAGUAUAAACAUUCUUGAAGGGGAACAUAUAUUCUGGGUCUGGGAGACAAAUCCCAUCUGGUCUACCUUGGAUGGAAGGCUCCCCUACUCUGUAGUGGUUGGUUGUUUUGUUGUGUGUGGACAGCUGAGAGUCAUUUCCUCAUCUUUAUUCCAAACGAAGCUGGACACUCCCUUUUCAUUUUUGAAAAGUAAUCUGUGUGAGAAGGCAGCCAGCAUGUUUACCCACUGGGCUUGGAGCCAGACUUCUUUCCCUGGUUCUUCCUCUCUCUGUUUCUCAAUCUCCCCUGCUCUAAGAUGGCCAGAUAUGAAAAGCUGCCAAUCGGGAUGCCAGAACAUCAAAGAGAUCGCUCAUGAGAGCACACAAAGUCCCAUUUGUUCAGCACUUGGACGGAGAUGCCAGCAGCUUCCAGGCAGAGGGAGAAUCGAAGCUAAGCAUAUUUUCCUCAAAUAUAACCUGGUCUGCAGAGGUGCAGCUCUGACUUCAACAUCACCAUUAAUAACUUCAUCACCAAGCAAUUUUACCUUCUUGGAGCUGAAAUGUCAAGCAUCACCACUUGUGUGGAGGGACUUUGUAGAGCUAAAAAGCCUACUGGAGUUGUUUCAGAACAACAAAAAAACCACCCCCCAACAAUUGUUGAAGAGUAUUUCAUUUGUGUAAUAAAAGAGCUGAAAAAAAUAUUCCAAUUGAGCAUUCUCUGGACACCCACAGUCCCUUGGCCCUGAAGAAACAGUUGACCUUACUCUGGGAUGGGGCAUUAACAAAAGACAAAAAUUAAGUCCUGAGAAUCAGAACUAAGAGUCAGAAAUACGCAAGUGGUUGACAUCUUUGUGUCUCAGCUUUCUGACCUAUAUCCUAAACAUGAUGUGUGUGAGACUCUUCAUUUGCUG